GCCCAGACUCCUACGGGAGGCAGCAGUGGGGAAUAUUGCACAAUGGGGGAAACCCUGAUGCAGCGACGCCGCGUGAGCGAUGAAGUAUUUCGGUAUGUAAAGCUCUAUCAGCAGGGAAGAAGAUGACGGUACCUGACUAAGAAGCCCCGGCUAACUACGUGCCAGCAGCCGCGGUAAUACGUAGGGGGCAAGCGUUAUCCGGAUUUACUGGGUGUAAAGGGAGCGUAGACGGCGAUGCAAGCCAGAUGUGAAAGCCCGGGGCGCAACCCCGGGACUGCAUUUGGAACUGUGUGGCUGGAGUGUCGGAGAGGCAGGCGGAAUUCCUAGUGUAGCGGUGAAAUGCGUAGAUAUUAGGAGGAACACCAGUGGCGAAGGCGGCCUGCUGGACGAUGACUGACGUUGAGGCUCGAAAGCGUGGGGAGCAAACAGGAUUAGAUACCCCAGUAAU
rnacentral:rRNA from 1 species